AUUGAACGCUGGCGGCAGGCCUAACACAUGCAAGUCGAGCGGAUGAAGGGAGCUUGCUCCUGGAUUCAGCGGCGGACGGGUGAGUAAUGCCUAGGAAUCUGGCUGGUAGUGGGGGAUAACGUCCGGAAACGGGCGCUAAUACCGCAUACGUCCUGAGGGAGAAAGUGGGGGAUCUUCGGACCUCACGCUAUCAGAUGAGCCUAGGUCGGAUUAGCUAGUUGGUGGGGUAAAGGCCUACCAAGGCGACGAUCCGUAACUGGUCUGAGAGGAUGAUCAGUCACACUGGAACUGAGACACGGUCCAGACUCCUACGGGAGGCAGCAGUGGGGAAUAUUGGACAAAGGGCGAAAGCCUGAUCCAGCCAUGCCGCGUGUGUGAAGAAGGUCUUCGGAUUGUAAAGCACUUUAAGUUGGGAGGAAGGGCAGUAAGUUAAUACCUUGCUGUUUUGACGUUACCAACAGAAUAAGCACCGGCUAACUUCGUG
rnacentral:rRNA from 1 species